GAUGAACGCUGGCGGCGUGCCUAAUACAUGCCAGUCGAGCGAACAGACGAGGAGCUUGCUCCUCUGACGUUAGCGGCGGACGGGUGAGUAACACGUGGAUAACCUACCUAUAAGACUGGGAUAACUUCGGGAAACCGGAGCUAAUACCGGAUAAUAUAUUGAACCGCAUGGUUCAAUAGUGAAAGACGGUUUUGCUGUCACUUAUAGAUGGAUCCGCGCCGCAUUAGCUAGUUGGUAAGGUAACGGCUUACCAAGGCGACGAUGCGUAGCCGACCUGAGAGGGUGAUCGGCCACACUGGAACUGGGACGCGGUCCAGACUCCUACGGGAGGCAGCAGUAGGGAAUCUUCCGCAAUGGGCGAAAGCCUGACGGAGCAACGCCGCGUGAGUGAUGAAGGUCUUCGGAUCGUAAAACUCUGUUAUGAGGGAAGAACAAAUGUGUAAGUAACUAUGCACGUAUUGACGGUACCUAAUCAGAAAGCCACGGCUAACUACGUG
rnacentral:rRNA from 1 species